UUAGCAAGGUCAUCGGAUCGGUGCUAUUGUAGUUGUUUCGGCAACUCGACCGGCGCUGAGAAGACGACCAAACUUGAUCAUUUAGAGGAAGUAAAAGUCGUAACAAGGUUUCCGUAGGUGAACCUGCGGAAGGAUCAUUACAGUAAUCCAAACAAUAAUACAACUCAGUUUUACUGAGAUGUUGGGUUUGCAAUAACCCAAGUGAACGAGCAGGUUGAUCCUGUUCUUACCUCGCAGAACGGUCUGCCUACGGUAAAGCGCCUCAGUUUUACCAAUCUCAGGCUAUACCUGGUGCACUUGCGCACCUACGUAUAGUCCGCAAUGACAGGGUGCCUACUUGUCUGAUGCUAUCGGGAUGCUCGCAACCUUGUGUUGUCAGUUAAUCUUGUUAGUGACGAGUUGUGCUGCCUUUCGAGGUAGUGCUAGGCUUAAAGAGUGGUGUUUGACUACGGUUGGCCCACCGCCCUGUUUGUUUGUUUCCACAAUCAUUUUACACUGUUAAAGUGGUUCAGGUUGGCUUCGGCUGGUUUGGAUCAUUGCCCCCAACAUGCAACUAGCGUGAGCUAGUCUGCACGUUUAGUCGCCUGGCGGUGCCUUAUCCCAGGUAGGACUACAAAAACCUUAGUUCAAUUGGGAAACCAAUGAUCUAGGUUAGUACAACUCUGAGCGGUGGAUCACUCGGCUCGUGUGUCGAUGAAGAGUGCAGCCAACUGUGUGAAUUAAUGUGAACUGCAUACUGCUUUGAACAUCGACAUCUUGAACGCACAUUGCGGCCAUGGGCUAGCUCAUGGCCACGCCUGUCCGAGGGUCGGCUUAUAAACUAUCACGACGCCCAAAAAGUCGUGGCUUGGGUCUUGCCAGCUGACGUGAUUUCCCUAUUUGUGCAAACGAACGGGGUGUCAGAUCUAUGGCGUUUCCCUAAUAAUUCCAGUUACAACUCCUUUUGGCUGAAGGCCAUAUUGGAGGGUGAUUGUGGAGUCGUGGCUCAAUGGUAAUGUUUGUGCGCGCUCUGCAUGUUCACCGCUGUAUCUGUCUAAUGUGAAAUGCUUUUCGCAUUUUACCUGACCUCGGAUCAGACGUGAAUACCCGCUGAACUUAAGCAUAUCACUAAGCGGAGGAAAAGAAACUAACAAGGAUUCCCUCAGUAACGGCGAGUGAACAGGGAAAAGCCCAGCACCGAAGCCUGUGGCCAUUUGGUCAUUAGGCAAUGUGGUGUUUAGGUCGUUCCGCAGAGGUUCUGCUCCACCCUAAGUCCAUCAAUGAGUACGGUAGUAUGGACAUGGCCCAUUGAGGGUGAAAGGCCCGUGGGGGUGGAGGCAUCGAAAGGCCAGAGCCUCUCUGGGUAGACCUUGGAGUCGGGUUGUUUGUGAAUGCAGCCCAAAGUGGGUGGUAAACUCCAUCCAAGGCUAAAUACUAGCAC
rnacentral:rRNA from 1 species